AAGACAUACAACAGUUAUGGUACCUAUUAUUCUGAUAUCAUUGGACUCAUCUACCAUUAUUGAAUCACUCUCCUGAAAAGAUGAAAAUAUUUGCUCAUCUUCUAAGGAAGUGGCUGAAAUGUAAGAGGUAUUAUAAAGAAUUAUACUGGAAGGAAUUAAAUUGAAGAUAUCCACCGAUCUGCAUUAGACAAAAAUGAGAGGAAGAAUGCCUCGUGCUUGUUUUGUCCAAGGAUGUCCAACCUGAAAGGCUCUGAAUAAGAAAGAUCUGCUGAAAGAACAGGUUAGCCUUCAUCUCUCCUCAGGAUAAAGAUGAUGAGCUCAUCAAGUCAUCAUAACAAGUGUGGAAAAUAACCAAGAUAAAGAAAGGUUAGAUAAUUUCUUAUGUAGGAUAAAUAUUAAGCCCAAGUAAUUAUCACCAGUCAUCAGCUGUGAAAUAGCACUUGGACUAUUUUUUUAGGGAUUUAAUUGGUGUUUAGUGGCUUAAUAUGUGCAAAAACUGACACAUCUUGCUAA